ensembl:snRNA U7 U7 small nuclear RNA
GAGUGUUACAGCUCUUAUAAAAGUUGUCUAGCAAGCUUUCUUGUUUUUACUGGAAACACCCCU